rnacentral:rRNA from 1 species
ACUACGGGUGGCAGCAGUGAGGAAUAUUGGUCAAUGGGCGGAAGCCUGAACCAGCCAAGUAGCGUGCAGGAUGACGGCCCUACGGGUUGUAAACUGCUUUUAUACGGGAAUAACGCGCCUUACGUGUAGGGCUUUGCAUGUACCGUAUGAAUAAGGACCGGCUAAUUCCGUGCCAGCAGCCGCGGUAAUACGGAAGGUCCGGGCGUUAUCCGGAUUUAUUGGGUUUAAAGGGAGCGUAGGCCGCAUGUCAAGCGUGCUGUGAAAUGUCCGGGCUCAACCCGGGCCUUGCAGCGCGAACUGGCGUGCUUGAGUCCGCGGAAAGCAGGCGGAAUUCGUCGUGUAGCGGUGAAAUGCUUGGAUAUGACGAAGAACCCCGAUUGCGAAGGCAGCUUGCUGCAGCGGAACUGACGCUGAUGCUCGAAAGCGCGGGUAUCGAACAGGAUUAGAUACCCGGGUAGUC